rnacentral:rRNA from 1 species
GUCUAAGAAAUAUAUUUAAGAUUAUUCUUGUAUAUAUAUUUAUAAAUUAAUAAUUCUAAAAAUAAAAUAAAGUUCCUCGAAAAUAAAAUUUUAGUAGCAUAGUAAUUUGUUAACUAAUUAUUAAAGUGUUCCACAGAAAUUUUUUAAAUUAAAACAAAAAAAAUAAUUUAUGAAUUAAAAUAAAAAUUUUAAUAAAAAUUAAAUAAUUAAAAUAGGACAAGUCCUACUCUCCUUUACAAAGAGAACGUUUCAAUAAUACGUA